CCUACGGGAGGCAGCAGUCGGGAAUAUUGCGCAAUGGAGGAAACUCUGACGCAGUGACGCCGCGUAUAGGAAGAAGGGUUUCGGAUUGUAAACUAUUGUCGUGAGGGAAGAAAUUGACAGUACCUCAGGAGGAAGCUCCGGCUAACUAUGUGCCAGCAGCCGCGGUAAUACAUAGGGAGCAAGCGUUAUCCGGAUUUAUUUGGUGUAAAGGGUGCGUAGACAGGAAAUUAAGUUUGUUGUUAAAUUCCUCGGCUUAACUUAGGAACUGCAACUAAAACUGAUUUUUUUUAGUACUUGAGAG
rnacentral:rRNA from 1 species